GUGGGAUUUCCCUGGGUAGAGGUUGUGCUCUUCUUGUGCUGGUUGUUGGCAGAGCUAAAUCAUUAAACAUCAUGCAGAACUCAUCCAUCCCAUUGCAUCAAUCCAUUUCCUAUUGGCAAAGGUGAAAUUGCAAUCCACCAGCCAGGGAUGCCAAUGUCUUGUAGGCGACAGAGGGGCUCCCAGGUGAAUUUCCAAAGAUGGAAACAAGUUGUGGGGUAAAAAUAUAUGCCAAAGACUACAAUUGCUGCAAUGGUUCACAGGUGUAGUUUCAGAGCUGAGACGUUCUGCCUUGCGUUUUGCUAUGGGAUGGGUUCAUCUUGGAGACAGAUAUGAAAAGUUCAGGUAACCAGCUCAUCACAGUCCCAUUGUGGUCAGCAGUGAUGUGCAUAGAGGAACCCCAGUGUACCUUUCCAGCUUCCCUCAAAUGGAGUUAGGAAAAAACUCCCAGUAGCAUUUUGGAGUGAAAUGGAGAAGCAGCAGCCUUUGGGCAUCAAUUGGAAAAGAGUGAGGAUGAAAGAUGCAUGACCCAGAGGAGGAGAAGGAUAAAAUGUGUUCCUUCAGAUACAAAACUGAUUGAAAACCUACUGCUGUGAAUAAAACAGGGCUGUUCUUCUCAUACAACGGACAGCUUUUGUUGCUUGGAGCCUGAGCUUGUGUUUCACUGCAGCAAAAGUAGUUGGAAGCACCAGGAUGGUGUCAAACGUGGGACAGCUUGGCUCAGUAACCAUAUGGGCUUUUGGAGAUGUGCAUGGCAGAUGUCCCUUGGAGAGCACUCCUGGACAUGAGGGCAGAAACGGUCAGUUAAAAUAUGCAUGUUGGAGAAAUAUCCUUCACCUUACCUCUCACAAGAGCACCAGAAUGAAUUCAGCCCCCAUCUGCACACUCCUGUCCAUGCAGAGAGAGGUGGAGCUGGGGUCUGCUGCUUUCAAGACACUCGAAAUCCCUGUAUCUCUGCAAGGACAGCGAGAAUCGAUCCGACUCUAAAUCCCAUUUCUUAUUUAAUAUUUAAGAUAAACAGAAUUUAAAGGGAAUGUAGAAAUUGCUAACUCAUACCCAGGGAAAAACCAUUUUUAAGAGAGUGAAACACCAGCUGAGAACUGCCAUCCUAUCUACAUCUUUCUUUCCUUUCAGCCAAGCCGAAUUUUUUUGCUGGCAUUAGUAUUGAUUUACAUGAGCAGAGGGCAGAUGGUUUUUUUUCCUGCCCUUCAAAAAAGGGUCUGCUGCAAUGUAGCAGGGAACAAGGCCAUCUCAUGCUUCGCUUUGGAAGUUGCCCUGUGUGGCCCUGGAUGAUGAUAAAAGAUGGGGACCUUCUGCAGAACUGCUGAUGCACAGGUCCCAAAAACAUAUUAAUUAUAAUUCUGGGUGGUAGGAAAUUGUACGUGACACAAGUUCAGCCUGCACAUAAUUGCAUCUGCUUGCAUCUUACACUCAGGAGAAAGGAAUAAGAAAGGAAUAAGCAGGCUGUUUCUGAGAUUUUCAAAAAUGAGCUGCCUGAUACCUCUGGAAGCAGGAUAAAGUUAUGUCUUUUUUCAUUGUUGGCAUUAUCAUAAAUAAUGUUCUGAGCCUGAAUCCAUUACUGAGUUGGAGAGGGACUCGUAGACCUUCGAAGGCAAUUAGGAUCAGCUGCAAAGGACAAUGUGUUCUUUUUUUAACAUGUACCUGUACAG